rnacentral:rRNA from 1 species
UACGUAGGGGGCCAGCGUUGUCCGGAAUCAUUGGGCGUAAAGCGCGCGUAGGCGGUCAGGUAAGUCCGGUGUGAAAGUCAAAGGCUCAACCUUUGAAUGCCGCUGGAUACUGCUUGACUUGAGUCCGGAAGGGGCGAGUGGAAUUCCUGGUGUAGCGGUGAAAUGCGCAGAUAUCAGGAGGAACACCUAUUGCGAAGGCAGCUCGCUGGGACGUUACUGACGCUGAGACGCGAAAGCGUGGGGAGCAAACAGG